rnacentral:rRNA from 1 species
UACGGGGGGGAGCAAGCGUUUGUUCGGAUUUACUGGGCGUAAAGGGCGCGUAGGCGGCCACCGCAAGUCAGUUGUGAAAUCUCUGGGCUUAACCCAGAAAGGUCAACUGAUACUGCGGGGCUAGAGUGCAGAAGGGGCAACUGGAAUUCUCGGUGUAGCGGUGAAAUGCGUAGAUAUCGAGAGGAACACCUGCGGCGAAGGCGGGUUGCUGGGCUGACACUGACGCUGAGGCGCGAAAAGCGUGGGGAGCAAACAGG